rnacentral:misc_RNA from 1 species
CAACGUGCACCUCACUGGCG